CCCCCUCGCUGCAGCCCCGGGACCGGGGCUUUGCAGCCGGCUGCCGCUCCCGUGGACGGCGGGACGGGAAGUGAUCCUGCCCCUCGCGCGACGCAGGGCGCCCGGGGGCACGGACGCUGCGGCUGGACGCCACGAGGGCGAAGGCCGGGGAUGCGGCGUGGGAGAGGGAGCGGGGAGUCCCCGGAGGCGGCGCAGCUGCUGCUGUCAAGGCCGGGGGUCCCAGGCAGCCCCCUCGGAGGCUUUCUACAGCGAUUCCCGCUGCGGCUUCCCGCUCCCGGCUGCGACCRCCGGGAAAAGUGGCUUCCCCCAAGYGCUUUUGUCUAAGUAAGGGAUCGACUACUCGGCAACUGGCCUGCAACGCGACCCGAGGGGCGAAGGCGAGUGGUGAGAGUGCAAAACAGCUGGCUGCAACCUGGACCGUCCCGGGAGCAGGUGAGCAGCGUGGAGGCUUGGUCCCACGCCGACGUGUGGAGCUGGAGCCRACCCUGCGGCGCACCGGAGCCCUUCCAAGCAGGCCCCCACGGGAAGCAGGCUGUGUGGAGCCUGUCCUGGGCCGCUGGAAGCUGACAAGCGCAGGAGAACCUUCUCCCAGCAGUGGGCAGCACCGGAACGGGCCAGGCCAACAGCAGCUCUUGGGCUCGGAGGUGCUUGAACGCCUCUGGCACCCUGGAGCAGGUCCUGACCUGGAAAGGAGCAGCUCUGUGGCCUGGCUGAGGAGGGGUCAGUGGGGCUGGAAAUGGAAGUUACAUUUCUAG
rnacentral:lncRNA from 1 species